rnacentral:rRNA from 1 species
UUGAACGCUGGCGGCAUGCUUUACACAUGCAAGUCGAACGGCAGCGGGGGCUUCGGCCUGCCGGCGAGUGGCGAACGGGUGAGUAAUGCAUCGGAACGUACCCAGUUGUGGGGGAUAGCCCGGCGAAAGCCGGAUUAAUACCGCAUACGACCUGAGGGUGAAAGGGGGGGAUCGCAAGACCUCUCGCAGUUGGAGCGGCCGAUGGCGGAUUAGCUAGUUGGUGGGGUAAAGGCCUACCAAGGCGACGAUCCGUAGCUGGUCUGAGAGGACGACCAGCCACACUGGAACUGAGACACGGUCCAGACUCCUACGGGAGGCAGCAGUGGGGAAUUUUGGACAAUGGGGGCAACCCUGAUCCAGCCAUUCCGCGUGAGUGAAGAAGGCCUUCGGGUUGUAAAGCUCUUUCGGCAGGAACGAAACGGUGGAGGCUAAUACCUUUCAUCAAUGACGGUACCUGAAGAAGAAGCACCGGCUAACUACGU